GAUGAACGCUGGCGGCGUGCCUAAUACAUGCAAGUCGAGCGAACGGACGAGAAGCUUGCUUCUCUGAUGUUAGCGGCGGACGGGUGAGUAACACGUGGAUAACCUACCUAUAAGACUGGGAUAACUUCGGGAAACCGGAGCUAAUACCGGAUAAUAUUUUGAACCGCAUGGUUCAAAAGUGAAAGACGGUCUUGCUGUCACUUAUAGAUGGAUCCGCGCUGCAUUAGCUAGUUGGUAAGGUAACGGCUUACCAAGGCAACGAUGCAUAGCCGACCUGAGAGGGUGGUCGGCCACACUGGAACUGAGACACGGUCCAGACUCCUACGGGAGGCAGCAGUAGGGAAUCGUCCGCAAUGGGCGAAAGCCUGACGGAGCAACGCCGCGUGAGUGAUGAAGGUCUUCGGAUCGUAAAACUCUGUUAUUAGGGAAGAACAUAUGUGUAAGUAACUGUGCACAUCUUGACGGUACCUAAUCAGAAAGCCACGGCUAACUACGUG
rnacentral:rRNA from 1 species